GAUGAACGCUAGCUACAGGCUUAACACAUGCAAGUCGAGGGACCGGCGCACGGGGGAGUAACACGUAUCCACCCUGCCCUUUACUCGGGGAUAGCCUUUCGAACGAAAGAUUAAUACCCGAUAUAAAGGAUGGGGAUGCGUGCCAUGAGGUUGUUGGUGAGGUAACGGCUCACCAAGCCUGCGAUGGAUAGGGGUUCUGAGAGGAAGGGCCCCCAGAGUGGAACUUGGACACGGUCCAAACUCCUACGGGAGGCAGCAGGGAGGAAUAUUGGUCAAUGGGCGGUAGCCUGAACCAGCCAAGUAGCGUGAAGGAUUAAGGCUUAUGGGUCGUAAACUUCUUUUAUAUAAGAAUAUGUAUUAUAUGAAUAAGGCUCGGCUAACUCCGUGCCAGCCGCCGCGGUAAUAC
rnacentral:rRNA from 1 species